UACGGAGGAUCCAAGCGUUAUCCGGAAUCAUUGGGUUUAAAGGGUCCGUAGGCGGUCUAAUAAGUCAGUGGUGAAAGCCCAUCGCUUAACGAUGGAACGGCCAUUGAUACUGUUAGACUUUGAAUUAUUGGGAAGUAACUAGAAUAUGUAGUGUAGCGGUGAAAUGCUUAGAUAUUACAUGGAAUACCAAUUGCGAAGGCAGGUUACUAUCAAUAUAUUGACGCUGAUGGACGAAAGCGUGGGGAGCGAACAGG
rnacentral:rRNA from 1 species